GCCCUCAUGCGAUGGAAAGUGAUCAAGAGCGAUUGGACCUGGAGAAUUAUUGAUGGCAUGAAAAAGCUGUCCAUCUGGGAGUGGAAUAGCUGCUAUUGUCACUGAGAUAAGUGUCUGUUUUGCUGAAGGUUCUGCUCACGGCCCAUCUGGCUCCAGGUAGUGACGCCGCAUCAGCUGGGGCUGGCUUUGUUUUAAAAAAAAAAAAAAAAAAAAAAAAAAAAGUUCCUGAACAGCACAGGUUAUGAGGGAGGCAAGGUCCCCAUUUUCAGGGGGUGCUCAUGUCCAGUAGUUUUGUGUCUUCUGCAGCAGAAGGUUAGAUCCAGGAGGAUGACACCCAGGUGGCAAGUUGCUUGCCUUCCUCCUAUGUUUUUCUCUCUUUUCUAAUAUGUUGGCCAACACACACUGUCUCUCUGACUGUCUGUCUUUCUCUCUCUCUGUCCUUACCUUUCCUUGUGCCAUCUCCCUUCAUAGGACACAGGCAGGGGUGCUCAGUGUGCAUCCCCCCAUGCUAGCUCUUGGGAGCCAUGGAGCAGUAGGAGCGGAGAAAAAUCAUGAGGGGCAGUGAGCGCUAAAGUGGAGAGGUGACUGUCUGCUUUUACCCAGUCUCUGUUCAUCGAGUCAGCCUGAGUUUGCGGCGGAAUCGUCCAGGAGCCCUCACCGGAGGAGAAACUGGCAAAGGUUGAUCUGAGCUGCCUGGACUUUAUUCUAAGGAGACAUGAACAGUCCUCAGCUUUCUGCCUCUCAUGUAAGCUGUCAGUGCUUGGAAUUCCUCAUCUGUACUGACUGUAUUCACAGCCCGUAUGGUUCCUCGUUGGGUACAGGACUCUGUGGUGUUAAGCCUGGGGAGGGGCCAGCAUCUGCUGUACCGAGUGACUGUCAGGUACCGUUGCAAGGGCUGCUUUUUGGUUGUAAUGCUAAAGGUGUGAUGGGAAGAGUGGUGAGGGCGGAGCCCCGCCGUGUUGGAGAGGCGAAAAGAAGAGCCAAUGUGAUGUUGCCCACUGAGUUGGUAACUUUUUUUUUCCCCCUUCUGCUGGUUGUAUUACCAAGGGAAAAGAAAUCUCGCGUCAGAGUCUGCUGUCCUCAUGUGAUGGAAAGUGAGUGAGAGCGAUGGGACUGCGAGAGUUAUUGAUGCCACGCAAAAGCCGUCCAACCGGGAUCAGAACAGCUGCCACUGUCAGUGAGAUAAGUGUCUGUUUUGGUGAUUGCUGUGCUCAUGGCCCACCUUGCUCUUGAUAGGGACGUCGCGUUUGCUGGGGCUGUGUUUGUAAGAAAAUGUUUUUGAGUAGCUGUGGUUGAGAGAGACAAGGUCCCCAUUUUCAGGGGCUGCUCAGUUCUCUGGCCAGUAGCGGUGUGUCCUCCGCAGCAGAAAGAUCUAGGAGGAUGACUCAAGGUGGCGAGUUGCUUGCCUUCCUCCUGUGUUUCUGUCUCUGUCCUCUAGUAUGUUGGCUAACACACACCCUCCUUUCUAUCCUUACCUUUCCUUGUGCCGUCUCCCUUCAUAGGACACGGGCAGGUGUUCUAGGUGCACAUCUCCAUAGGUUAGGUCUUGGGAGCCCUGAAAUAGUAGGAGGGGACGAAAACCAUGUGGGGCAGUGGGCGCUAAAGUGAAGCAGUGACUAUCGGUGUUAACUUGGUCUCUGUUCAUCGAGUGGGGCUGAUCUAGAUGGGAUGGGAGAGGGAGGCAGGAUGAGGGCAAGAUUUCAAGCACCAUUAGAGCUUUGUGUUGUGAUGGCUCAUGCUUGGCUUUUGCAGCUGCUCUUGCAGAGGAAUUGUCCAGGAGCCCUUGCUGGAGCAGAAACUGGCAGAGGUGCAUCUGAGCAGCCUGAACAUCCUUCUAAGCAGACACGAACAGUCCUCGGCUUUCUGCUUCCCGCAUAACUGGCUUACCAAGGAAAAACAAGUCACACGUCAGAGUCUACUGCCCUCGUGCGAUGGAAAG